GCUUAGAGAGGGGUCAAUGUCCUAUCAGCUAGUUGGUAAGGUAAUGGCUUACCAAGGCUAAGACGGGUAGCCGGCCUGAGAGGGUGGUCGGCCACACUGGGACUGAGACACUGCCCAGACUCCUACGGGAGGCUGCAGUCGAGAAUCUUUCGCAAUGCCCGAAAGGGUGACGAAGCGACGCCGCGUGUGGGAAGAAGGCCUUCGGGUUGUAAACCACUGUCGGGAGUUAAGAAAUGUAAGGGUGUUAAUAGCAUCCUUACUUGACUAAGGCUCCGGAGGAAGCCACGGCUAACUCUGUGCCAGCAGCCGCGGUAAUACAGAGGCGGCAAGCGUUGUUCGGAAUUAUUGGGCGUAAAGAGCACGUAGGCGGCUUUGUAAGUCAGUUGUGAAAGCCUUCCGCUUAACGGAAGAACAGCAUCUGAUACUGCGAGGCUAGAGUGCGGAAGGG
rnacentral:rRNA from 1 species